CUAAACACUUAGGCAUAUUUAAAUUAUAGUAUUCCACGUGUAACCUACUAUUACACUAUUAGGCUAUUCAUUCGUGUUAAAAUCAGAGCGCCAAAUGAAAGCUACUGUUUUUUGUUUUAUUUAAGAUUAUUUUUGUUAUAAUAUUUUUUGUGUAUUAGCAUAUAGCAAUCACACACAACACAUAUGAAUGCAGUUUCUUUACCCUCUAUGCUUCUGGACGAUGAACAUGGUGGUUUUGCUACUAUAUUUAUAUUUAACUGAUUUAAUAGUUAUACUCAGUUGAUCACUAAAUGAUAAAUAGACAAUAAUUUCUACACGUUUUAAAUGAUCUGACCAAUGGCUAAAAAUCUAGCAUGUGGAAGCUAAAAUGUGAUUAGCCUGUCCACACACUAGAGGGCGGUAUAACCAAAUACAUAAACCGCUAACGUUGGAAACCACGUGCAGGUUGCUCGAUUUAGCGGGACACAAUAAACUCCUUACACAAAGACGUGUAAGGUUUUGCACAGAUAAAAUAACUCCCAGUUUUAAAUGUACGAUAACAUUAUGUACAUUAAACAGUUUACUCCUGCAUCUAUGAUUAAAGCCCCUAAGACUUUUAACUAGUCGACUGUACAUCAUAAUAAUGGCUAAUUUGCUCUUUCUCGUCAGCAUUUGUUUGCUGAAUGAUGGACGACGGUGUGUUGUUUAACCUGGCCACUGCAUCACUUCAUCUGCAGAAGAAAACAACCACACAGAAACUGCAUAUCCAUCAUCACAUGACCUCUUCAUGGCCAAUGCUGUCGUCAUUGAUAAUUGCCUGCUCCAGAUUGUCAACUAGCAUGAAUUAGCAACCGCACGGUCUAGGAAGUUUUAUAUGUCUAGGAAGACAUAGUUUUUCUGGGGAUACAACAGCUUAUUGGUAUGUAUAAGACUUUUUAUAUUUAUGUAUUGAACACAUCACCAUUUUUUUCAGAAAACAUUUUAAAGGUGCUUUUGACUUGAAAUGUUCACCAGAUGUUGAUAACAACCAAAGAAACAAAGAAACGUAUAUGAAAAGAAAACAAAACUAAUUAAUUUACAGAUUAAGAUGUGUAAUAAAAUGAAAUGACGCAGGGAAAAAGUAUUGUAAGGGAGGUGUAGAAAGGCAAUGAAAGCCCAGACAGCAGCUGAAAUCUCUCGGUAGUUCGUCAGCAACCCUCUACCCUUCCUCAUUGUACAUGGUGGGCCAUUCAUAUGGAUACACCUCAAUAAAAUGGGAAUGGAAUGGUGGUGAUACUAACAUCCCUGUUGGUGGCACAUUAGUAUAAGUGAGGGGGCAAACUUUUCAAGAUGGCUGGUGACCAUGGUGGCCAUUUUUAUGUCGUAACUUUAUCCUUUCAUGAGUUAUUUACAAGUUUCUGACCACUUAUAAAAUGUGUUCAAUGUGCUGCCCAUUGUGUUGGAUUUCUGAAGCACAUGAUCAUCAGGUUUUACACAUGAGUUCUUGCACCUUGAGUGCUGCUGUCAGUAAGAACGGGCAUUCAAAACGUUAUGAGACGUUAAAAAAUGUUUGCAGUUAUGUGAAGUAACAAAUUACAAAUAUUUAAAUUACUGUCAUUGAGAAGUUUUUCUCAGGAAUUGUACUUAACUAGUUUAAAAAAUGUGCACCUUUACUUUCACUUGAGUACAUUUUUAGUGCUGUAUCAGUACUUUUACUCCACUGUUUUCCUUCAACCUGUAGGCACUACUUUAUUAUUUUUCUUUUCUGUGGUGAUUGGCUAGUAUAGAAGAAGUACUAAACAGUUCUGUAAUUGCCGUCCAAUCAAAUCGAACAAAGUAAAUUGCAUUAUACAGAACAACUUCAUGACAAAAUUGUUGCACGCAAUGACCGAGAGACUGUUUAGACUGCAUGCCACUGAUGAGAAAAUGGCGAAUGUCUAAUGCACUAUAGAAAUGGACUACAGAAUAUUACGUUUUCACACACACAUGCACAAAUCGAUGCAUCAACCAACAAUAGCGUAACACCUGAUUUAUGCUUUCACCUGGUACCGUGUUGCAGACCUCC
ensembl:lincRNA